UACGUAGGGCGCAAGCGUUAUCCGGAAUUAUUGGGCGUAAAGAGCUCGUAGGCGGUUUGUCGCGUCUGCCGUGAAAGUCCGGGGCUCAACUCCGGAUCUGCGGUGGGUACGGGCAGACUAGGGUGCGGUAGGGGAGAUCGGAAUUCCUGGUGUAGCGGUGAAAUGCGCAGAUAUCAGGAGGAACACCGGUGGCGAAGGCGGAUCUCUGGGCCGUAACUGACGCUGAGGAGCGAAAGCAUGGGGAGCGAACAGG
rnacentral:rRNA from 1 species